UCUCGAUAGCGUAAAAGUUAACUCACAUUUGUAUGGAGUUGGAACUUUUGCCUAAGUUUGCCGCUAGGGGCGCUGUUCCAACUGCAUACAAAUUUGAAUUAACAUUAACGCUAUCGA
rnacentral:pre_miRNA from 9 species